rnacentral:rRNA from 1 species
GUACAACCGCGUACUUUUUGUAGAACGGUCCGGCGAGUUGCCGGUGCUGGCGAGGUUAAGGACUAAAGGUCCGGAGCCGAAGGGAAACCGAGUCUUAAUAGGGCGUAAAGUCAGCAGCGGCAGACCCGAAACCGGGUGAUCUAUCCAUGUCCAGGUUGAAGUUCCCGUAAAAGGGAAUGGAGGACCGAACGCACAUCCGUUGAAAAGGGUGGCGAUGAGGUGUGGAUAGGGGAGAAAUUCCAAUCGAACCCGGAGAUAGCUGGUUCUCCUCGAAAUAGCUUUAGGGCUAGCCUCGAUUUAGUCAGACGGAGGUAGAGCACUGAAUUCCUGAGGGGGCGUCAAAGUCUGCCAAGGGAUAUCAAACUGCGAAUGCCGUGCUGAUGGUGAUCGGGAGUCAGACUGUACGAGAUAAGUUGGACAGUCAAAAGGGAAAGAGCCCAGACCUGCAGCUAAGGUCCCAAAAUACGUGUUAAGUGGAAAAGGAUGUGGGAUUUCGAAGACAACUAGGAUGUUGGCUCAGAAGCAGCCACACAUUCAAAGAGUGCGUAAUAGCUCACUAGUCGAGAGGUCCUGCGCCGAAAAUUUCCGGGGCUGAAACACGAUACCGAAGCUCAGGAGUGUGUAAAAGCACACUGGUAGAGGAGCAAUCUCAACGCGCAGAAGCAGUACCGAUAAGGAGCUGUGGAGUGUUGAGAAGAGAGAAUGCCGGAAUGAGUAGCGAGAAUGAUGUGAGAAUCAUCAUGGCCGAAUAUCCAAGGAUUCCAGGGUAAAGCUGAUCUGCCCUGGGUAAGUCGGGACCUAAGGCAAGGACGAGAGUCGUAGUCGAUGGACAGCUGGUUCAGAUUCCAGCACCUGACAUGAUCAGAACUGUGGGGACACAGAGACGUAACCGGACCCGGGAGAGCAAAGACCGGGCCAAGCGAAGUAGGUGUGCGGAAGGCAAAUCCGCCGCACAAGCCGAAGACGUUAAGGGGAGCGAAAUCAAGUAGCGAAGCCGGUGACCGUAACUGUCAAGAAAAGCCGCUAUUGUAUCAUGUCAGCCCGUACCGCAAACCGACACAGGUGGAUGAGGAGAGAAUCCUAAGGCCGGCGGGAGAAGCAUUGUUAAGGAACUCGGCAAAAUGACCCCGUAACUUCGGGAGAAGGGGUGCUGCAGAGAUGCAGCCGCAGAGAAAAGGCUCAAGCAACUGUUUAGCAAAAACACAGGUCUAUGCGAAACCGUAAGGUGAAGUAUAUGGGCUGACGCCUGCCCGGUGCUGGAAGGUUAAGAGGAGAGGUCAGCGGGGAAACCCGCGAAGCUUUGAAUUUAAGCCCCAGUAAACGGCGGCCGUAACUAUAACGGUCCUAAGGUAGCGAAAUUCCUUGUCGGGUAAGUUCCGACCCGCACGAAAGGCGUAAUGAUUUGAGCGCUGUCUCAACAAUGCACCCGGUGAAAUUGAAGUACCAGUGAAGAUGCUGGUGACCUGCGCCAGGACGGAAAGACCCCAUGGAGCUUUACUCUAGUUUGAUACCGGGAUCCGGUGUUACUCGUACAGGAUAGGUGGGAGGCUACGAAGUAUGGACGCCAGUCUAUACGGAGCCGCUGUUGGGAUACCACCCCUGUGGCACUGGGUUUCUAACCUGCGUCCAUCAUCUGGACGGGGGACAAUGUCAGAUGGGGAGUUUGACUGGGGCGGUCGCCUCCGAAAGAGUAUCGGAGGCGCUCAAAGGUUCCCUCAGAAUGGUU